rnacentral:rRNA from 1 species
UACGGAAGCAGCAAGCGAUGUUCGGAAUUACUGGGCGUAAAGGGUGCGUAGGCGGUGCUCUAAGUUUGGUGUGAAAUCUCCCGGCUUAACUGGGAGGGUGCGCCGAAAACUGGAGCGCUUGAGUGCGGGAGAGGAAAGCGGAAUUCCUGGUGUAGCGGUGAAAUGCGUAGAGAUCAGGAGGAACACCUGCGGUGUAGACGGCUUUCUGGACCGUAACUGACGCUGAGGAACGAAAGCGUGGGUAGCAAACAGG